CAUCAACUGCCCUGCUUCGGUCUGGCAGACAAAGCAAGUUUCUCCGCUGAUUAGAAGGGCAGGCUUUCUGGCUGCCUGGAGGCAUCUACGCAGCAACACAGCACGCAGGGAGGCGAGUGGCAGCCACCUUCACAGGCUGCAGCCAAGGUCAGCACAGCAAGGGCGCUCUUGUGCCCCCCCCCCCCAGAUGGAGGCUCUGCCAGCCUGGGAGAGUGGGUGGUCUUUCUCUCCUAGGGGGAGGAGCAAGCAGGCACCCCCACACCAGAGGCGGCCCUCCAUUCCAGAAGGAAAGGGUCAUCAGACUUCCCCCUGAGGAAGACUUUUCACCUUUGAUCGGACCAGAGAGAGGCCCGCAACCCCAGAGCCAGUCCUUCCUAUCAUGAAUUAAAACCCACGAUCCCAGUUCUUCCAACUCCUUUGGAAAUUUCCUGGCAAAGCCGGGCAAUGUGCAGCCAGGUACAGGCAAUACAAACAAGCACAUUUAUCACCAUCUUGAAGCCCGAGUUUCUGACGCUCGUUACCUCUGGGGGCCGGGAGUGGGAAUAAGGCCGCCAAGGGCUUUUCCUCUAGGGUCUCAGUUUCCCAAUCAGUAAGCAUGAGCUUUUAUAAAGGAGAGAGAGCUCACAUUGCUACCCUGAGUCUGGGGCUUUGGCCAGGUAGGUUAUGGUGGGGCGGGGGUCCUGAGCUCCCCACCUAGGGGGCAUUUGGACCACAAGACAGGCUCUUGUGGGGCGCUGACCCCAAGAACUGCUUUUAUUGGGGGGAAGCUGGAGGUCCACAGGCGUGCUCAGGCCCUUGCCUCUAACCCUCACACCACCUGCAUCCUGACGACAAAGGGAGCCUGGGACCGGUGCCCCCUGCCAGGUUCUUGGAGUGGGACAAGUUUAGCACCCCUCCAGCUAAGCAGGUCAGGGGAGCCCUAUCUCUCUCACAGCCAGAGAAGCCAAGAGGAGAGAGACAUUUCUCGGCAGCCAUCCUAAUCCUGGAUUACAGUGAUGAACUCCAACAAGUCUGGAGUUAACCCCUUCAUCUCAGGAACACGCAUCAAGAAAUCAGGAGCCGACUUCAGGAUGCAAAGAGCGAAGGGAAAGCAUAGAGCAUGCAGGAAAAGCAUAGAGCAUGCAGGAAAAGCAUAGAGCAUGCAGGAAAAGCAUAGAGCAUGCAGGAAAAGCAUAGAGCAUGCAGGGCAUUUCCCAAGUCUUUGCCUAGCCACGCUCCAUUUGUGUCUAGCCAAGGCCAGAGGUCUUCACUGUUGCUUCUGAGGGAGGAGGAGGGGUGGGUCUGAACUGGUUGUAGAGCGUGGGUUUGGGAGGGCACACCCUUCUUCGGUCUGCAGGACACCCCCAGAGGAUGGAACCUAAAGAGGUGCUUUACAGUGUGCUUCCAGGCAGCUGGCCCAGAUCCUCAUCCUCAGACCCUCUCUUCCUAGCGGUAUCACGGGGUGAGCGCAUUCGGGAGUGAGUCUGUUUCCUCACCUGCUAACAGGGGCUCCACUGUUAAGAUCUGUGAGAAAUGUUCCCUUCAAGCACGGUGCUGUUCCGCCAUGUUAGCAUUUACUGCGGUUGCUGCUGUGAUGAGCAGUGCAGUUACUUCCAACCCUCCCCUCUGGGCGUGGGGGACCCUUGAACGCGACCUAAGGUCCCCUGGCCAUGAGAUUACCCUGCUGCUGGCCAGGAGAAGGCCUGUUUGGAGGUGACCGUCAGCGUGCCAUGUGAGAGGGCAAGCUGGCUUUGCUCUCGACUUUCAAAAGCCUCUGAUGGGCUUCGUGGGAAAGGUGACUUCCCCUCAGCGGACAGGAGGAGGCUGCUGGGGAGCAGAGGAAGGCCCCCACUCUCCUUUCCACAGAGAAGGAAGAAAGGGGUCCUUAGAAAAGGCAGGUCGGAGCAGUUCUGUCCCGUGUCCCCAAAGAACGAUGACAAUUCACCAGGGGAGCCGAGGAUGACCCUGCCUGGGCUCAGCAGGGGCACACAGGCCGCCGGAGUGGCAGCUGUCUGAGACAUUCCCAGAAGGGACUUUGCCUAAUGCCACCUUGAAGAUGUGACUUUCUGUAAGCUCCUUGCUGCUCAGGAUUGAGCCAGGAUGAGGGUUUUGUGUGUGGAGUGACUGUGAACGUGGUGACGGGUGUGGCACGGGACAGUGUCCCUGAAGGUUCCCAAGCACUGGCUUUGAGUGGGAUCAACCCAGGGGCCAGAACACUGGGCGCUACGGAAGCCGGGUAAGCAUUGAAGGCUUUGUGUGUUGCUCUGUUGUUUUUUCUUUUUUCUUUGAGUCUCUUGCAAGUGGGGAGCUUUCUCUGUGUCUGUAUAUCUAUCUACAUGGCUGGUACAGGACAAGGGCGAGCAAGCCGCACGGGGCUCAACCACUUUCAGUGACAUCUGGCCCAGGGUGCUCCUCAGCAGCUUCUAGGACCGCAAGCAUGCUGGAGCUGGCCAGUGUUUUGUUCCCUAGUCUCGCUACCUACAGGGCUCUUCAUAACUCCCUGAUGCUCUGGGCCCAGAAGAUACCAAAAAUGGCCAGUCACUCAAGAUGGCCUCCAAACCCUCUCCCCAGGCUCCUCGGACUUCUUAGCCCACAGGACUCAUACCAACCCGUGUUUCCAGGAGAUAAGGUCAUCCUCCCGUGCAGGAGGGGGCAGUGGGAGAAGGAAGGAGACUGUUGAUUUGCCUCUGCAUUCAGAUGAGAUCUCAAUCCCCGGCUCUCCCCGGGCGGGCGGGUGGCUACCCUCUACGGAUCACCACACAUUCCACCUCAGGUGCUCCCAAGCAUUUCGGCAGCCUCACCCAUCUGGAAUGCUCCUCCUGCUUCCAUCCAGACCCUUGCAAGCCCACACAGGCUCCAGCUGUCGGGGAGCCCUCAAUCAGCGCUUUCCUGCUUUGCCUCUGCCAGGCAUUUCAUGAGCACCUGUUCCAGAAUGGCACAGUUCCUGCCUCCAGGAAGUCAAGGAGAAAGACCCCAGUGGUGGCAUCGGUGGCAGUGAGUGAUUAUGGCAACGUGGGCCGAGCCCAUCUGCACACACCGACACACACAAGCUGGCCCAGACAUCUCCCUUCCCACAGCGGGCGGAGAACAGGCCAGGCUGGAGGGAGGUAGAAGGCUCUAGAUCCCCAGCCCAAGGGUUGUUUAUGCAUGGGACGGCCUGUAGAGACGUAGGAAGGAUAGCUCAAGGCAUGCCCCACAGCAGUCAGAGCAUAAGCCUCGGGGCCUGAGUGCAAGUUCUGACUCCAAGCCCUGGGCAAGUCACUCGCCUCCUCUAGAGAGCUCUCUGUCAGCAAAGCGGGAACAAUGGCUGAGAUCUGUCCAACGGACAAAGUGAGAGGCAGAAACAGCCCUGACCCAGCACCUGGCACAUAACCAGAGGAUGAAAAUCUUUCAACUGGCCACUAGUAAGUUUUAGCCCUAUAGGACUGAGCAAAAGCCUGACCCUUAUUAGAGGACAACCCCGGGCACGGGAAUGGAGGUCUCCUGACUCCUUAAGACUACCUUGCAACAAACUGGCCCAGAUACCCCAAACUUAAGCACUGGGCUCUGCAAUCGAUGCCAUUCCAUGAGCUUGUCUUAUCACCUUGCAGAACAAGAACAAUUCGGAGCAUGCAGCAGGCCUGGACUAAGGAAGGCAGAGGUCUUACCAGACUCUGGGGAGACAACAGGAUACUCAGGGAGCAGCCUGAGCAAUAGAACAAAGCUGACUGCUGUGGGCAGACAUCAUGGGACUCUGCAGAGACUGAGGUCAUGUGCAGCUGUGGAAACGGGAGGCACUCCCAGUCCCGGGGCCUAUCUCAGCCUCGUGUGUCAACAUCCCAGCAAAGGCUAGGGCUGAGGCCAGCCUCUGAGUGGGCACCGGCAGAGGCUCAGACCUCCGUGCGCCCCCCCGCCCCCACCUCUCUUUCUGCUCUCCCAGGCUCAGGACACCUGCUCGCUUCCCCACUGUACUCUGGACAGCAGCUUCCCUAGAACAGUGAUGGGCAGCUAGAACACAGUCUGUGGGCCCCAGUGAGAGGCUGACACCCUUGACCCUGAGCCCGGCACAUUCCUCUGAUUAGGAAGAGACUGGGACGGGUUAACAUUUUGGGCUCCUGUAGUUUCCCUAAGGAGUUUCACAUCCAUGCCCUUUAGCUUACAAUAACCCUGCGGAUUAAUCCGACAGCUGUGACUUCUCAAUUUCUCCUCCUUGAAAACAGAAGCCUAGGCGGGAGAAAUGGCCUCCGGGACACAGAGCAGGCAACUGGAAGGCUGGCUGCAGACCUCAGCAUCCACUGGCUCUGCUCAAAUGAUGGGCAGGUAGCAGCCUGGUACCUUCCACAGGGUCUCAAGGACGAUGGUUGGCAGGGAAGGUCUGCCUUCCUCUCCUCUGGCUCUUGCAGGGUUCCCUACUGUUCUGGUGCAGGGUAAGCGGAGGGAUGGUGGUAAGGAAGAGCCCUUACCUGCUCUGACCUGAGUCCUGCAGGGGGGUGCCCGGGUCCCAGUCCACGGCUCCCGCUGGUCGCUCUAGGGCCCAGAGCAGAAGCAGAGGUCAGGACAGGGCCACCAGCUGGGCUCUGAGCUGCUUCUCGGUGAACACAGAGGAGAGAUGCUCUACUCCCCGUGUGGGCCGAAUGCCCCCCCCAAUCACACAUUCAAAUCUAAUCUCCAGUAGGAGGGGUGAAGAAAUGGGGACUGGGGACCCAUGUUCUGAUCUGAGAAACGGAGGCACAAAGACUGAGUGAACCCAGAGUAGGCAAAGAGGACCCCCCUAUACAUGCCCUCAGGUGGGGAAACUGAGUCAUGGAGAAAUCACACCCCAUGGAUUCCAUGGGCGAGUCCAGCUUGUAACCAAAAGCUUUGCAUCCCACACCAAGCCCAGGGCUCUUUCAGAACAGUGAUCGUUUACCGCACCCCCUUAUUGUCAGGUAAGACUGCGUCCACAGAGGUCAGAAGACUCACAAGUGUUACACAGCCCCUUGGUGGCUGGGCUAAUUCCAAUGGCUUUACAGAGAAGGAAAGGAAGAGCUCUUUACUCACUGUAGAAGCGACUGUGUCUUAAUGGUUACUCUGUUAGGCCACGCUGAGAAAUCAUCCUACAUCUAGAAGUGUCCCAUUUGAAGUAAACUCAGUGUGUAAGAAUUCAUCCCUAAAUGGCAGAUUAGGAGUUAAUUACUCCCUUCACACAAUAAGGAUCCACCAUAAGAUGUUCUUAAAGGGUUAAGGUCACUUAUUACAAUUCAAUUUAUAUGCUUUUCAGGAAUAUAUGUAUUUUAUAAAGCAAGAUACAUCUGUAACACCAAGUUUCACAGCAAUAAAUCUGUGAAGUUUAUGGAUUAUCUUUAGGACGGAAGUCAUUUUCUCUACCGGAGCAUCUAGAGCAGCGGUUCUCAACCUGUGGGUCAUGACCCUUUGGGGAAUCGGAAAGACCCUUUCACGAGGGUCGCCUAUGACCAUGGGAAAACACAGAUAUUUACAUUACGAUUCACAACAGUAGCAAAAUUACAGUUGUGAAGUAGCAACGAAAAUAAUUUUAUGGUUGGGGGUCCCCACAACAUGAGGAACACUAUGAAAGGGUCGCAGCAUUAGGAAGGCGGAGAACCAGUGAUCUAGAAUACUCCAGGCUUCUCUUUGCAGCCCAGCUACCUCUUCUCUGAGGUCCAAUCCAGAAGCCAAGAUUGGGAUUGUAACGUGAGCCCUUUCAGUAAAAUCCAGAGAACUUCAGGACCUCGUAAACUCUGGAGCUGCGCCCUGACAUCCGUGUCUGCAGACCUUAAAGAAUGAGACCGUCCCCCCCGAAGGCCUCUGGACGGUCUCCCUGGAAGACAGCUACCGAGCCCUCCACUCCUAGCACCGAUCCUCUGACUCAGGAAAACUGGAUCGAAAAUGGACGUGAAGAACCGGGCCUCCUCAACUCUUCCCGCGGUGGGAGGUCGAGUCUCGGCGGCCCAGGACCCCUCUGCGCCCCGCCACCCCGCCCGGCUCCUCGGGGUACUCACUGAGAGCG